AACGAACGCUGGCGGCAGGCUUAACACAUGCAAGUCGAGCGCCCCGCAAGGGGAGCGGCAGACGGGUGAGUAACGCGUGGGAAUCUACCGUGCCCUACGGAAUAACGCAUGGAAACGUGUGCUAAUACCGUAUACGCCCUACGGGGGAAAGAUUUAUCGGGGUAUGAUGAGCCCGCGUUGGAUUGGCUAGUUGGUGGGGUAAAGGCCUACCAAGGCGACGAUCCAUAGCUGGUCUGAGAGGAUGAUCAGCCACAUGGGGACUGAGACACGGCCCAGACUCCUACGGGAGGCAGGAGUGGGGAAUAUUGGACAAUGGGCGCAAGCCUGAUCCAGCCAUGCCGCGUGAGUGAUGAAGGUCUUAGGAUUGUAAAGCUCUUGCACCGGUGAAGAUAAUGACGGUAACCGGAGAAGAAGCCCCGGCUAACUUCGUGCCAGCAGCCGCCGUAACAC
rnacentral:rRNA from 1 species